rnacentral:tRNA from 1 species
GGUGGUGUGGCUGAGUAGUUAAAAGCAGAACAUUAGAAUCAGAUCAGACCUUGGUUCAAAUCCUGGUGCCACCA